AGAGUUUGAUCAUGGCUCAGGACGAACGCUGGCGGCGUGCCUAAUACAUGCAAGUCGAGCGGAUAGAUGGGAGCUUGCUCCCUGAUGUUAGCGGCGGACGGGUGAGUAACACGUGGGUAACCUGCCUGUAAGACUGGGAUAACUCCGGGAAACCGGGGCUAAUACCGGAUGGUUGUUUGAACCGCAUGGUUCAAACAUAAAAGGUGGCUUCGGCUACCACUUACAGAUGGACCCGCGGCGCAUUAGCUAGUUGGUGAGGUAAUGGCUCACCAAGGCAACGAUGCGUAGCCGACCUGAGAGGGUGAUCGGCCACACUGGGACUGAGACACGGCCCAGACUCCUACGGGAGGCAGCAGUAGGGAAUCUUCCGCAAUGGACGAAAGUCUGACGGAGCAACGCCGCGUGAGUGAUGAAGGUUUUCGGAUCGUAAAGCUCUGUUGUUAGGGAAGAACAAGUACCGUUCGAAUAGGGCGGUACCUUGACGGUACCUAACCAGAAAGCCACGGCUAACUACGUGCCAGCAGCCGCGGUAAUACGUAGGUGGCAAGCGUUGUCCGGAAUUAUUGGGCGUAAAGGGCUCGCAGGCGGUUUCUUAAGUCUGAUGUGAAAGCCCCCGGCUCAACCGGGGAGGGUCAUUGGAAACUGGGGAACUUGAGUGCAGAAGAGGAGAGUGGAAUUCCACGUGUAGCGGUGAAAUGCGUAGAGAUGUGGAGGAACACCAGUGGCGAAGGCGACUCUCUGGUCUGUAACUGACGCUGAGGAGCGAAAGCGUGGGGAGCGAACAGGAUUAGAUACCCUGGUAGUCCACGCCGUAAACGAUGAGUGCUAAGUGUUAGGGGGUUUCCGCCCCUUAGUGCUGCAGCUAACGCAUUAAGCACUCCGCCUGGGGAGUACGGUCGCAAGACUGAAACUCAAAGGAAUUGACGGGGGCCCGCACAAG
rnacentral:rRNA from 1 species